GAUGAACGCUGGCGGCGUGCCUAAUACAUGCAAGUCGAGCGAACAGACGAGGAGCUUGCUCCUCUGACGUUAGCGGCGGACGGGUGAGUAACACGUGGAUAACCUACCUAUAAGACUGGGAUAACUUCGGGAAACCGGAGCUAAUACCGGAUAAUAUAUUGAACCGCAUGGUUCAAUAGUGAAAGACGGUUUUGCUGUCACUUAUAGAUGGAUCCGCGCCGCAUUAGCUAGUUGGUAAGGUAACGGCUUACCAAGGCAACGAUGCGUAGCCGACCUGAGAGGGUGAUCGGCCACACUGGAACUGAGACAAGGUCCAGACUCCUACGGGAGGCAGCAGUAGGGAAUCUUCCGCAAUGGGCGAAAGAUUGACGGAGCAACGCCGCGUGAGUGAUGAAGGUCUUCGGAUCGUAAAACUCUGUUAUUAGGGAAGAACAAAUGUGUAAGUAACUAUGCACGUCUUGACGGUACCUAAUCAGAAAGCCACGGCUAACUACGUG
rnacentral:rRNA from 1 species